GUAGCACUGCCACUCCACCUUCAGCCUCUCCUCAGCAGCUUGUGACCUGCAGUGGCUUAGUCUCAUCACCGGCCGUCUUCUCCCCCCCUCUCUGACCGCCCGCCGGCCACCAGCAGCCCAGAGGAUUCCAGCUUCUGCAGCGAUCCUUCGGGGGAAAUGGUGGGAACACGCUUCGUUGUCAUGUGUCAAAUUAACCUCGGAAGCAUACUGACGGUCAUUAUUCAUCCAACACUUUUGAAUAUGGCUUUUGAAACACUCGUAAACUGCCAGGUUAUCACACAAGGAAUGCGGUGAGCAUUCGGUCUUGCACGUUCUAUUAAGAUCCGCUUAAACCAUAACAUAAAACCCAAAUCUUUAAUGUUACCUUUAACACAAUGCCUUAAAAAAGAGACUUAUUGUUAUUAAUUGUAAAAUGUAUGUGGGAUGAAAGUGUGCCAUUUUUGAUAAAACAGUGCUGAAAUUGUGAAUUGCUGGAUGAGGUCUUAUAGUCUCAUACAUAUAUUCAUUGAUAUAUUUUAAACAGUAAUUAAUAUGAAUUUAAUAUGCAUCACUUUAAAAGUGAUCUCAGUUGUGUCUUAAUAAGUAGCACAGGCAAGUGCAUUUAAGUGUAGUCAUGUAUAAUUUAAGUUGUUCUACUUUUGUACCUACAAUACACUAAGUACAACCCUUUUUUUAAAAAAAUGUUUUGAAACAGAGGAGUUUGAGUACAGAUAUCAAAACAUUACCAUUUUAGCCAUAUUAGUGCUGUGGCUCUUUGGUCAGUCCACCUGACUGAAAUAUGUCAACAAAUAUUGGAUGUAUUACCAAGCUCAAUCAAGCCCUCGCACUUAAGUUUUUGUGUUGUUGUGUGUUUUUUUAUUAGGUUUUCCCUUCAUAAUGAAUUUUUUCUUCCUUUCUUUCUUUCCGUCUAGAUGAGGUCACCUGUCACACAGUCGAACCUUCAGCUGUGUCCAGGUGCUCGGCUUCAAACUGAUAUCAAAGAAGAGGUCUCAUGCUCCACCCCAGCUCCCUGCCAGUUCUCUUCAAAGCCGCCAGCCUCUCUGCAGAAACACUGCCUGGUCUCAUCAGCUGCCCCCAACACUAAAACCGCCGCUCCAUCACAGACUAUUGACAAAGACAAGAUGCUGCGGGAGAAAGACAAGCAGAUAGAGGAGUUGACCAUGAUGCUGAGGCAGAAGCAGAGGCUGGUGGAUGUGCUGAGGAUGCAGCUGGAGCACGGCAAGAGAGUUUCGGAGCCAGUGGUUCUUGUAAGAGUGAAGCAAGAACCUCCUGAUAAGCCCGGUGUACCUCUCUCGUGCGGCCAGCCCCCAUUUCUCCUUCAAACAUCGUGCGUCAUGGAUGCCACUAAGUUUGCCGUCAAACAGGAGGUCAUCCAGACAGAGGACGUUGUGCCUGAGACAACUAUGCAGUCAGUGAACUCUCGUGGAUUACCGCGGCCCUGCAACCAAACUCAGGAGGCACAGGAGCAGAUCCAGCUGCACACGAAGCCACAGAAAGAACAACACGACGGUCUCCAGCAGAGCCCUCUGCAGCUGGCCCAGCAGCAGGCCAUACAGAAACUCUUGCUGCAGCAGCAGCAAAACAUCCAGAGGUGUAACCAGGUGCUGGAAAAUCAACAGAACCUGCAGAGACUGUCUCAGCAGAGAAAGAAGAAAUCUCACAAACAGCAGCUCAAACUGCAGCAGCAGGAGCAACUGUUGCAGUCGCAGCAGAUGCAGCUGAAGCAACAGAUUCUAAUGAAACAACAACAAAAAAUGCUGUUUCAGCAGCAAAUGAAGCGGCAGCAACCGACUAAACAACCACAGCAAAUCCAGAUACAGACCGAGAUACAUUUGACGCAGCACCCGGUGCAAACGCAACAGAAACAACAGGUGCCGCAGCAGCAGUCGCCACAGGUGUCUCAAGAGUACAUCAAAGAGCAGUCAGGCUCGGCCCCCUCGUUCCCGCCCUGGUCAGACUCCACCCCGGCCCUGGUCACUGACGGCAACGGCAACCACUUCCUGAUUGCACUGAGCAAUCACCUCACUGAGAACCAAAGAGCUGACACACCCGAGGCAACCAAUCCAAUCACUCUCCAGGCCCAGAAUAGGCGACCUCAGGGAUCUGUAGACGAACCACAGCAGGGAGCUGCUCAGUGUGUAACUGCACCGCCCAGUCUGCAGCCUUUCCUAAAGGACCAGGAGGCCGCUCCCUCAUGGAAACACACCUCAUCACCCUGCUCCCAAACUGAGGUCUGCUCUAGCCUGGACGUCUUGUUCAGUCCUCUGUCUCCGGCUUCCAAUCAGACAGCUGCCUCUUCACCCGAUAACAAAGUACGAUGGGAGCACUGCAUGCUCUCAAUGCGUCACUGCACACACAAGCUAUUUUCCUCAAUACCUUUUUUACUCACAAGGCUGCAAAGUGAAUCAAGUGUUUGUGAUCCAAAAUGUGAGAUUUUAACUGCCUCACACCACGUCACAUCAAAUGCUCAUGUCACGUAG
rnacentral:lncRNA from 1 species